rnacentral:rRNA from 1 species
CCAAUAGCGUAUAUUAAAGUUGUUGCCGUUAAAAAGCUCGUAGUUGAAUUUCGGGAUCAAUGUUUCGGUCAUGCCGUUGGUAUGUACUGAUAUUAUUGAUUUCUCACCUUCUAAAGAACCGUAAUGCCAUUAAUUUGGUGUCACGGGGAAUUAGGACUGUUACCUUGAAAAAAUUAGAGUGUUUAAAGCAGGCUCACGCUUGAAUACAUUAGCAUGGAAUAAUGAAAUAGGACAUCCGAUUCUAUUUUGUUGGUUUCUAGGAUCGAUGUAAUGAUUAAUAGGGAUAGUUGGGGGCAUUAGUAUUCAAUUGUCAGAGGUGAAAUUCUUGGAUUUAUUGAAGACUAACUACUGCGAAAGCAUUUGCCAAGGAUGUUUUCAUUAAUCAAGAACGAAAGUUAGGGGAUCGAAGACGAUCAGAUACCGUCGUAGUCUUAACCAUAAACUAUGCCGACUAGGGAUCGGAUGAUGUUAAUUUUUUAAUGACUCAUUCGGCGCCUUACG